rnacentral:misc_RNA from 1 species
GAUGAAGAACGCAGCGAAAUGCGAUAAGUAAUGUGAAUUGCAGAAUUCAGUGAAUCAUCGAAUCUUUGAACGCACAUUGCGCCCCCUGGUAUUCCGGGGGGGAUGCCUGUUCGAGCGUCAUUUCAACCCUCAAGCUCUGCUUGGUAUUGAGUCCAUGUCAGCAAUGGCAGGCUCCAAAAUCAGUGGCGGCGCCGCUGGGUCCUGAACGUAGUAAUAUCUCUCGUUACAGGUGCUCGGCGUGCUUCUGCCGAAACCCCAAUUUUUCUAUGGUUGACCUCGGAUCAGGUAGGGAUACCCGCUGAACUUAAGCAUAUCAAUAAGCGGAGGA